rnacentral:rRNA from 1 species
UACGUAGGGGGCUAGCGUUGUCCGGAAUCAUUGGGCGUAAAGCGCGUGUAGGCGGUCCGGUAAGUCCGCUGUGAAAGUCGAGGGCUCAACCCUCGAAUGCCGGUGGAUACUGUCGGGCUUGAGUACGGGAGAGGCGAGUGGAAUUCCAGGUGUAGCGGUGAAAUGCGUAGAUAUCUGGAGGAAUACCGGUGGCGAAGGCGGCAUCCUGGACCGGCAUUGACGCUGAGUGAGCGAAAGCUAGGGGAGCAAACGGG